rnacentral:rRNA from 1 species
UGCCUUACACAUGCAAGUCGAACGGCAGCACGGGAGCAAUCCUGGUGGCGAGUGGCGAACGGGUGAGUAAUAUAUCGGAACGUGCCCAGUCGUGGGGGAUAACGUAGCGAAAGCUACGCUAAUACCGCAUACGAUCUAUGGAUGAAAGCGGGGGAUCGCAAGACCUCGCGCGAUUGGAGCGGCCGAUAUCAGAUUAGGUAGUUGGUGGGGUAAAGGCUCACCAAGCCGACGAUCUGUAGCUGGUCUGAGAGGACGACCAGCCACACUGGGACUGAGACACGGCCCAGACUCCUACGGGAGGCAGCAGUGGGGAAUUUUGGACAAUGGGCGCAAGCCUGAUCCAGCCAUGCCGCGUGCAGGAUGAAGGCCUUCGGGUUGUAAACUGCUUUUGUACGGAACGAAAAAGUUCUCUCUAAUACAGGGGGCGAAUGACGGUACCGUAAGAAUAAGCACCGGCUA